rnacentral:tRNA from 1 species
AAUUAGAAUCUAAUUAACUAUUAAAUAAUUUUUAUUAAUUUUAUUAC